UACGUAGGUGGCAAGCGUUGUCCGGAUUUACUGGGCGUAAAGAGCGCGCAGGCGGUCGUCCAAGUCGAAUGUGAAAGCCCCCGGCUCAACCGGGGAACGGCGCGGGAAACUAGCAGGCUUGAGUUCGGGAGAGGGAAGCGGAAUUCCGGGUGUAGCGGUGAAAUGCGCAGAUAUCCGGAGGAACACCGGUGGCGAAGGCGGCUUCCUGGACCGACACUGACGCUGAGGCGCGAAAGCUAGGGGAGCAAACGGG
rnacentral:rRNA from 1 species